rnacentral:rRNA from 1 species
UACGUAGGGCGCAAGCGUUGUCCGGAAUCAUUGGGCGUAAAGAGCUCGUAGGCGGCCUGUUGCGUCCGCUGUGAAAUCCCGGGGGCUUAACCCCGGGCGUGCAGUGGAUACGGGCUGGCUGGAGGCAGGCAGGGGAGAACGGAAUUCCCGGUGUGAGCGGUGAAAUGCGCAGAUAUCGGGAGGAACACCGGUGGCGAAGGCGGUUCUCUGGGCCUGUACUGACGCUGAGGUGCGAAAGCGUGGGGAGCAAACAGG